UACGGAGGGUGCAAGCGUUAUCCGGAUUCACUGGGUUUAAAGGGUGCGUAGGUGGGCUAGUAAGUCCGUGGUGAAAUCUCUGAGCUUAACUCGGAAACUGCCGUGGAUACUAUUAGUCUUGAAUCUCGUGGAGGUAAGCGGAAUAUGUCGUGUAGCGGUGAAAUGCUUAGAUAUGACAUAGAACACCGAUAGCGAAGGCAGCUUGCUACACGAGUAUUGACACUGAGGCACGAAAGCGUGGGGAUCAAACAGG
rnacentral:rRNA from 1 species